UUUUGGUGGAAAACAAGGAGUCCCAGAUAGCAAAGAAAGGGCCUAUCCAAGAUAAACUUCUAUCAGCUAUCUGAUUGACUGAAGCACAUUUAAUUUAGGUUGCAAAAGAAUAUCACAUGUAGUUUUGGAAGAUGGCAAUUUCAUUUCUUAUAGCGGGCUGUUGCUCAAUCUAUGACAACGCGGCUCACCAGUUUUGGUAAUUGAAUCGGAGCUCAGUGAGGAUGAAUCCUACGGCUGCAGCAGAGGCUCGCUAUCGCUGGUGAAGAGCAAUAUUUGGAGGCUGUUUUGGAGGAGAAAGCUGGUUCAUAACGUUUUUGGUAGAAGCGAAUCUGCCGAUGUAUUUUUGCGGAGGAACAAGAAAAUAUCUGCUGGUGUAUUUGUAGAAGCAACAGCCUUCUGAUUCUUCUUAAGUUGCUCGAGUACCACCUGCCCAGUCUAAUCUGUCACCUUUUAUCUUCACCCUUGCAAUCUUUUUCUUGUUGUCCAAUACAACUACCUUUAUUAACAAGAAACCUCCAGAUAUCCCAGAAGUUCACCUUUCAGAGUAAUCAAAGCCUAUCCUUGAGAUUGCUUUUGCUCUAAGGAUAGUGUGUUGCGAGAAAUUGCAUCUGGCAGAGAUCUGAAGAAGUUCCUCGUGGUCACUGCUGAUCUAUGGGUCCUCUCAGUUGUAGGCAACCGCUGCAACUUCUUGACACCGUUCUACAUAUGUCAGUGCAAUUCUUUCUGUUUUCCUGUGUUCCAUUUGUAUUUGCUAUCUGUUCUUAACGGAUACGCUUUUUCAUGGUCUUCCACACAGUGAACCCAGAUUUGUGCUCAAGUCAUACAGUUCCUGCUUUUUAUAAGUGUAAAGAUAAAGUGGAUCCAUUAGCCAAGAAAGCAGUGCAAGAAAUAAAGAAACAAUAUGGUGACUGUCUGUAUAAUGCAGAGCAAUAAUACCCUCAUAAGCCAAGCUCUAUUUUUGCCAUUUCAUUCGAUGGAA